rnacentral:rRNA from 1 species
UGGGGAAUUUUGGACAAUGGGCGAAAGCCUGAUCCAGCAAUGCCGCGUGUGUGAAGAAGGCCUUCGGGUUGUAAAGCACUUUUGUCCGGAAAGAAAUCCUUGGCUCUAAUACAGUCGGGGGAUGACGGUACCGGAAGAAUAAGCACCGGCUAACUACGUGCCAGCAGCCGCGGUAAUACGUAGGGUGCAAGCGUUAAUCGGAAUUACUGGGCGUAAAGCGUGCGCAGGCGGUUUGCUAAGACCGAUGUGAAAUCCCCGGGCUCAACCUGGGAACUGCAUUUGGUGACUGGCAGGCUAGAGUAUGGCAGAGGGGGGUAGAAUUCCACGUGUAGCAGUGAAAUGCGUAGAGAUGUGGAGGAAUACCGAUGGCGAAGGCAGCCCCCUGGGCCAAUACUGACGCUCAUGCACGAAAGCGUGGGGAGCAAACAGGAUUAGAUACCCUGGUAGUCCACGCCCUAAACGAUGUCAACUAGUUGUUGGGGAUUCAUUUCCUUAGUAACGUAGCUAACGCGUGAAGUUGACCGCCUGGGGAGUACGGUCGCAAGAUUAAAACUCAAAGGAAUUGACGGGGUC